CUUUGUGUGGGCAGGAGAUCUGGCUUUGAGCUGUUUCAGACCCUCAGUACUAACCAGACUCUAAAAAGGCAGGCACUCACCUUCAGGCAGAGAUAACAAAUGCAACUUUGCACCAAAGUGGACAUAAAGAGACUCUAGAGGUAUCUUGUGGGAUUUACACUUGGAUAUGGAGCUACAUGGUAGUGCACAGGCAAUCUGUAACUCCACAAUCUGCCAGACAUCUGAUCCCAAUAAAUCCGUCUCUCAAAAGAUGGUACUUCAGAAUUGAUAAAUAUUAUUGGAGACAU